UAGGGAAUCUUCGGCAAUGGACGAAAGUCUGACCGAGCAACGCCGCGCGAGUGAAGAAGGUUUUCGGAUCGUAAAACUCUGUUGUUAGAGAAGAACAAGGACGUUAGUAACUGAACGUCCCCUGACGGUAUCUAACCAGAAAGCCACGGCUAACUACGUGCCAGCAGCCGCGGUAAUACGUAGGUGGCAAGCGUUGUCCGGAUUUAUUGGGCGUAAAGCGAGCGCAGGCGGUUUCUUAAGUCUGAUGUGAAAGCCCCCGGCUCAACCGGGGAGGGUCAUUGGAAACUGGGGGACUUGAGUGCAGAAGAGGGGAGUGGAAUUCCAUGUGUAGCGGUGAAAUGCGUAGAUAUAUGGAGGAACAACAGUGGCGAAGGCGGCUCUCUGGUCUGUAACUGACGCUGAGGCUCGAAAGCGUGGGGAGCAAACAGG
rnacentral:rRNA from 1 species